UGUGGCUGGGGGUGAAAGGCCAAUCAAACCGGGAGAUAGCUGGUUCUCCCCGAAAGCUAUUUAGGUAGCGCCUCGUGAAUUCAUCUCCGGGGGUAGAGCACUGUUUCGGCUAGGGGGCCAUCCCGGCUUACCAACCCGAUGCAAACUGCGAAUACCGGAGAAUGUUAUCACGGGAGACACACGGCGGGUGCUAACGUCCGUCGUGAAGAGGGAAACAACCCAGACCGCCAGCUAAGGUCCCAAAGUCAUGGUUAAGUGGGAAACGAUGUGGGAAGGCCCAGACAGCCAGGAUGUUGGCUUAGAAGCAGCCAUCAUUUAAAGAAAGCGUAAUAGCUCACUGGUCGAGUCGGCCUGCGCGGAAGAUGUAACGGGGCUAAACCAUGCACCGAAGCUGCGGCAGCGACGCUGAUGCGUUGUUGGGUAGGGGAGCGUUCUGUAAGCCUGUGAAGGUGGCCUGUGAGGGUUGCUGGAGGUAUCAGAAGUGCGAAUGCUGACAUAAGUAACGAUAA
rnacentral:rRNA from 1 species